rnacentral:rRNA from 1 species
GUUAGGAAUAUUGGACAAUGGGCGCAAGCCUGAUCCAGCCAUGCCGCGUGAGUGAUGAAGGCCUUCGGGUUGUAAAGCUCUUUAGUCCACGAAUAUAAUGACUGUAGUGGAAGAAUAAGCCCCGGCUAACUUCGUGCCAGCAGCCGCGGUAAUACGAAGGGGGCGAGCGUUAUUCGGAAUCACUGGGCGUAAAGCGUGCGUAGGCUGUUUUGUAAGUCAGAAGUGAAAGCCCAGGGCUUACCCUGGAAUUGCUUUUGAAACUACAAGACUCGAAUUCGGGAGAGGAUAGCGGAAUUGUCAGUGUAGCAGUGAAAUGCGUAGAUAUUGACAGGAACACCAGUGGCGCAAGCGGCUAUCUGGACCGAUAUUGACGCUGAGGCACGAAAGCGUGGGGAGCAAACAGGAUUAGAAACCCCGGUAGUCC